AAAUUGAAGAGUUUGAUCAUGGCUCAGAUUGAACGCUGGCGGCAGGCCUAACACAUGCAAGUCGAACGGUAGCACAGAGAGCUUGCUCUCGGGUGACGAGUGGCGGACGGGUGAGUAAUGUCUGGGAAACUGCCUGAUGGAGGGGGAUAACUACUGGAAACGGUGGCUAAUACCGCAUAACGUCGCAAGACCAAAGAGGGGGACCUUCGGGCCUCUUGCCAUCAGAUGUGCCCAGAUGGGAUUAGCUUGUUGGUGAGGUAACGGCUCACCAAGGCGACGAUCCCUAGCUGGUCUGAGAGGAUGACCAGCCACACUGGAACUGAGACACGGUCCAGACUCCUACGGGAGGCAGCAGUGGGGAAUAUUGCACAAUGGGCGCAAGCCUGAUGCAGCCAUGCCGCGUGUAUGAAGAAGGCCUUCGGGUUGUAAAGUACUUUCAGCGGGGAGGAAGGUGUUGCGGUUAAUAACCGCAGCAAUUGACGUUACCCGCAGAAGAAGCACCGGCUAACUCCGUGCCAGCAGCCGCGGUAAUACGGAGGGUGCAAGCGUUAAUCGGAAUUACUGGGCGUAAAGCGCACGCAGGCGGUCUGUCAAGUC
rnacentral:rRNA from 1 species